UGGCUCAGAGGGUAAAGCGUCUGCCUGCAAUGCAGGAGACCCGGGUUCAAUUCCUGG
rnacentral:tRNA from 1 species